UAUCAGUCUUUGUCUGAGCAAUGGUGCUUU
rnacentral:piRNA from 1 species